rnacentral:rRNA from 1 species
UCGAACGCUUCUUUUUCCACCGGAGCUUGCUCCACCGGAAAAAGAGGAGUGGCGAACGGGUGAGUAACACGUGGGUAACCUGCCCAUCAGAAGGGGAUAACACUUGGAAACAGGUGCUAAUACCGUAUAACAAUCAAAACCGCAUGGUUUUGAUUUGAAAGGCGCUUUCGGGUGUCGCUGAUGGAUGGACCCGCGGUGCAUUAGCUAGUUGGUGAGGUAACGGCUCACCAAGGCCACGAUGCAUAGCCGACCUGAGAGGGUGAUCGGCCACAUUGGGACUGAGACACGGCCCAAACUCCUACGGGAGGCAGCAGUAGGGAAUCUUCGGCAAUGGACGAAAGUCUGACCGAGCAACGCCGCGUGAGUGAAGAAGGUUUUCGGAUCGUAAAACUCUGUUGUUAGAGAAGAACAAGGAUGAGAGUAACUGUUCAUCCCUUGACGGUAUCUAACCAGAAAGCCACGGCUAACUACGUGCCAGCAGCCGCGGUAAUACGUAGGUGGCAAGCGUUGUCCGGAUUUAUUGGGCGUAAAGCGAGCGCAGGCGGUUUCUUAAGUCUGAUGUGAAAGCCCCCGGCUCAACCGGGGAGGGUCAUUGGAAACUGGGAGACUUGAGUGCAGAAGAGGAGAGUGGAAUUCCAUGUGUAGCGGUGAAAUGCGUAGAUAUAUGGAGGAACACCAGUGGCGAAGGCGGCUCUCUGGUCUGUAACUGACGCUGAGGCUCGAAAGCGUGGGGAGCA